rnacentral:rRNA from 1 species
ACGGGUGAGUAAUGCCUAGGAAUCUGCCUAGUGGUGGGGGAUAACGUUCGGAAACGGACGCUAAUACCGCAUACGUCCUACGGGAGAAAGCGGGGGACCUUCGGGCCUCGCGCCAUUAGAUGAGCCUAGGUCGGAUUAGCUAGUUGGUGAGGUAACGGCUCACCAAGGCGACGAUCCGUAACUGGUCUGAGAGGAUGAUCAGUCACACUGGAACUGAGACACGGUCCAGACUCCUACGGGAGGCAGCAGUGGGGAAUAUUGGACAAUGGGCGAAAGCCUGAUCCAGCCAUGCCGCGUGUGUGAAGAAGGUCUUCGGAUUGUAAAGCACUUUAAGUUGGGAGGAAGGGCAGUAACUUAAUACGUUGCUGUUUUGACGUUAC